AUGAGUAAAAGAAACAGGACAUUGAAUUCAUUUUUUGAAGUUCGAACCACUGGAACUGUAGAAACGGGUCCUUCAAUUCAAACAACUGAUAAUACCCCUCGUAUUGUAGCUAAACUGAAGCCCGGUGAUAUUGAAGCAGGCCUUGGUAAGAGAAUACCAAUUGAGGAUUUGGAUGCAGACAUUAGAGAUCUUGCUAGAAGGGAGUACAUUAGUAUGGGUCCAUGCCAACCAACUAAUCAUACAUAUGAACGGUUAAAUGGUAGAAGCUUUCAUGGUUAUUGGUUCAAUGAUCAUCGCGGCUGGUUAGAAUAUAGCAUUGAAAAGAACGCAGUCUUUUGCUUUUAUUGUUUUCUAUUUAAGCAACCAAAAGCUAAAAACUAUGGUAUUGAAGCAUUCACGAAAAAUGGAUUUAAAUCUUGGAAGGAUGGGCCUAAAGUUUUCAAUCAACAUGUUGGCAAGCAUGAUAGUGCUCAUAAUAAAUCUAGGCAACAUUAUGAGGAUUUCAAAAAUCAAAGACAAAAUUUGCCACAUGUGUUUGAUAGGGGUUCUAAUAAGAAAGAAGAAGAAUACAAAGCUCGUCUCUUGAUUAUAAUGGGUAUUGUCAAAUUUUUGCUACUACAAGCUCUUGCCUUUCGUGGUCAUGAUGAGUCUACUAGCUCAAUGAAUAAGGGUAACUUUAGAGAGUUGUUGGACUUGUUCAUAAAGAAAGACCCGAAGGUGGAAAAAUUGUAA
rnacentral:rRNA from 1 species